rnacentral:rRNA from 1 species
UACGGGGGAUGCAAGUGUUAUCCGGAAUAAUUGGGCGUAAAGCGUCUGUAGGUGGUUGACCAAGUCUGUUGUUAAAAAUCAGGGCUCAACCCUGAUCCGGCAACAGAAACUAGUAAACUUGAGUACGGUAGGGGCAGAGGGAAUUCUCGGUGUAGUGGUGAAAUACGUAGAUAUCGGGAGGAACACCAGUGGCGAAGGCGGUUGCCUGGGGCUUUGCUGACGCUGAUGCGCGAAAGCGUGGGGAGCGAUCCGG